rnacentral:pre_miRNA from 1 species
AGGAGGAAUAGCCCCAGUGGCGGGGCAGCUCUGGAAACCUGGAUUCAGCUCCGGCAGGAACUCCGUCUGCAGGGCCUGGAGGCUCCGGGGCGGG